UCAUCACACCUUACUCCUGUCUCUUGCUGAUAUCGUAACUGAGGCUGGUGAACCAUGAAUACCAAGAGCAUUGUAUUCCUGCUGGUGCUGGUGAUCGUGGCCGUCACCGUUGUUAAUGGAAGCAUCAAGUAUCCCUGCCCACAAGUCAACGGGUUUUGUGUAAAUUUUUGUAGUUACGGACAAGAAAUAUCUACCGGCAUCUGCUACGGCAAUAAUAUAUGUUGCAGGGUAAAACAGCAUUACCACUAGUCCACAACAGUAGCCAGACCUGACGGACGCCACCAUGACCUAUAAGAAGACACCCUCAACUGUGUUUGGUGAUCAUCGACGAAACUUUUGUUUUCACAUGCGAUUCGAGAACUUGCUUUACCUAUGAUUUUUUUUAAGCAUUUGGAUUCUGCAACAACCUUUAUUUUCUUGUUCUUGCACAUUUUAAGAAAUGAUGAAGAAUAUUAGUAAAAUUUAAUUUAACUUGAGACUUGCGUCAUUAGCAUGCGCAUCUGCUUAUUUUUGACGUGUAUUGCCUUGUUAAUUCCCUCAUCUAUAAAUGAUAACAUUCAUCUUUGUUUUGAGAGCUUGAUAAUAAAAUUGUUAUAUUAUAAUUAAAAUAAUUGCCUCUUA
rnacentral:lncRNA from 1 species